AUUUUCAAGUAAUUUGAGUGAUUAUAAUUUAUUAAUAAAUGAAAUAUUUAACUAUUUAUAAAUUAUUAAAUAUUGAUAAAAAGGAGAUGGGGGGAUUAAAAAAAAUUAACAAAAGUUAAAUUUAGCAAUUUAAGAGUAGAUUUUAAAAGUAGUGCCAGCAAUAGCGGUUAAACUAAUGUCUAAAUAAAUUGAAAAUAAAGAUAGAAUAAAUAUAAAUAAUUAUAAGUUAAAUAUAAUUUAUAAGGUUGAAUUUUAAAUUAUAUAAUAUUAUAAUAUAAAUAAUAAUUUUAAAAGUUAAGAGAAAAACUAGGAUUAGAUACCCUAUUAUUUUAAUAAUUUUAAAGUCUUAAAAAUUAAAUGUUUAAAUCAUUAAAUUUAAAGAUUUGGCGGCAUAUUAUUCCAAAUAGGGGAAUUUGUUUUUUAAUAGAUAAUACACAUAAAGAUAAACUAACUUUAUUUUUAAGUAUGGUUGUUUAAACUAUUUUUAUAAAAUGAUAUAAUGGUUUAGAAAUUUAAUAUAAUUAAAGUUCAAAUAGAUAUUUAGAAUAGGUUAGAAGGAAUUAGUUACAAUAAAUUAAAUUUAAAGAGAAAAAAAUGAAUGGAUAAUUUUUUUAAAUUUUUGAAAAAUUUGAAGGUGGAUUUAAAUGUAAAUUUAUAUAAUUUUAUAAAUUGAAUAGGUUUUAAUAUGUGUACAUAUUGCUCGUCAAUUUCAAUAGUAUUGAGGUAAGUCGAAACAAAGUAAAAAUAUUGGAAAAUGUUUUUAGUGU
rnacentral:ncRNA from 1 species